UGAGGAAUCUUGCGCAAUGGAGGAAACUCUGACGCAGCCACGCCGCGUGCCGGAAGACGGCCCUACGGGUUGUAAACGGCUUUUAAUUGGGAAGAAGGAUAGGGUUUUGAUCUUAUUUGACGGUACCGAUUGAAUAAGCACCGGCUAACUCCGUGCCAGCAGCCGCGGUAAUACGGAGGGUGCAAGCGUUGUCCGGAAUCAUUGGGUGUAAAGGGUGCGUAGGCUGGCUCUUAAGUCUGAGGUGAAAUCUUGCCGCUUAACGGUAAAAUGGCCUUGGAUACUGGGAGUCUUGAAUCUGACAGAGGUCGGUGGAAUUCGUAGUGUAGCGGUGAAAUGCAUAGAUAUUACGAAGAACACCAGUGGCGAAGGCGGCCGGCUGGGUCAGUAUUGACGCUGAGGCACGAGAGCGUGGGGAGCGAACAGGAUUAGAUACCCUGGUAGUCCACGCUGUAAACGAUGUAUGCUAGUUGUUGGGCCGCAAGGUUCAGUGACGCAGUUAACGCAGU
rnacentral:rRNA from 1 species